rnacentral:rRNA from 1 species
CUGGUUGAUCCUGCCAGUAGUCAUAUGCUUGUCUCAAAGAUUAAGCCAUGCAUGUCUAAGUAUAAGUUCUGUACUGCGAAACUGUGAAUGGCUCAUUAUAACAGUUAUUAUUCCCUGGCCGGUCAGUGAUUCCUUGGAUACCCAUGGUAAUUCUAGAGCUAAUACAUGCUUAAAAACCCGACUUCUUGAAGGGUUGCGCUUAUUAGAUACCGAACCAACCCAGGCUCUGNNUGGUUUUCGUUGAUUCAUAGUGUUCUGGCGAAUCGACUCGCAAGAGUCGAUGAGGCUAUCAAGUUUCUGACCUAUCAGCUUCCGACGGUAGGAUAUUGGCCUACCGUGGCUUUGACGGGUAACGGAGAAUUAGGGUUCGAUUCCGGAGAGGGAGCCUGAGAAACGGCUACCACAUCUAAGGAAGGCAGCAGGCGCGUAAAUUACCCAAUCCUGACACAGGGAGGUAGUGACAAGAAAUAUCAAUAUAAGACGUUUCUGUCNNGUA